rnacentral:rRNA from 1 species
UGGGGAAUAUUGCACAAUGGGCGCAAGCCUGAUGCAGCCAUGCCGCGUGUAUGAAGAAGGCCUUCGGUUGUAAAGUACUUUCAGCGGGAGGAAGGCGUUGUGGUUAAUAACCACAGCGAUUGACGUUACCGCAGAAGAAGCACCGGCUAACUCCGUGUCAG